rnacentral:rRNA from 1 species
UAAUUUGGCUUCAGGUCGGGGACAACAGUUGGAAACGACUGCUAAUACCGGAUGUGCCGGAAGGUGAAAGAUUUAUCGCCUGAAGAUAAGCUCGCGUCUGAUUAGCUAGUUGGUGGGGUAAGAGCCUACCAAGGCGACGAUCAGUAGCUGGUCUGAGAGGAUGAUCAGCCACACUGGGACUGAGACACGGCCCAGACUCCUACGGGAGGCAGCAGUGGGGAAUUUUCCGCAAUGGGCGAAAGCCUGACGGAGCAAUACCGCGUGAGGGAGGAAGGCUCUUGGGUCGUAAACCUCUUUUCUCAAGGAAGAAGAAAGUGACGGUACUUGAGGAAUAAGCAUCGGCUAACUCCGUGCCAGCAGCCGCGGUAAUACGGAGGAUGCAAGCGUUAUCCGGAAUGAUUGGGCGUAAAGGGUCCGCAGGUGGAACUGAAAGUCUGCUGUUAAAGAGUCACGCUCAACGUGAUAAAAGCAGUGGAAACUACAGAACUGGAGUACGUUCGGGGCAGAAGGAAUUCCUGGUGUAGCGGUGAAAUGCGUAGAUAUCAGGAAGAACACCGGUGGCGAAAGCGUUCUGCUAGGCCGUAACUGACACUGAGGGACGAAAGCUAGGGGAGCG